GUGGGUGUAGCUCAGUGGUAGAGUGCAUGCAUAAGGUCCUGGGUUCCAUUCCCAGUUCCUCCG
rnacentral:tRNA from 1 species